UACGUAGGUGUCAAGCGUUGUCCGGAUUUAUUGGGCGUAAAGCGCCCGCAGGCGGCUUGCCAAGUUCGAUGUGAAAUCUCCCGGCUCAACUGGGAGGGUGCAUCGAAAACUGGCAGGCUUGAGGCAGGGAGAGGGAUGUGGAAUUCCAGGUGUAGUGGUGAAAUGCGUAGAUAUCUGGAGGAGCACCAGUGGCGAAGGCGGCAUCCUGGCCCUGUCCUGACGCUCAGGGGCGAAAGCGUGGGGAGCAAACCGG
rnacentral:rRNA from 1 species